AAAAAAAAGAAAAAGAAAUGAGGUGCCUUGAUCUUCAGGUUGAGCCACUAAAUCACCGAGACAUAUAUCACAAACAGCUAAACAAACAAAGCGAAUCUCACUUGUUUUUCCAUCAAAUAUUAGAUGGAUGGAUCAACUAUUUUUAGUAUCAACAACCCUUUUGAUGCUUGAAAUUUUUUAGUAUAUUGGAAGAGAGCUUUUCACUCAAGGUGAGUGAUCUGAAUAUGGCUAUUUCCGCAACAUUUUCUUCUCAUGGAUUCCAUGGGAAAAGACUUGUGUCACCUCCUAGAAAGAGUUUUGGAGGCAAUAAUGUAUGGUUAAAGCAACCUGUGCACUGUAAAUCUAAAUCAUUCUCUGUUGAAUUGUUUAAUGAGGGACGAAAUGAAUACGUUAUGUCAACGAAUAGCAGCAGAGCAUUGGAGAUGAAAAAUAAGUCUUCAAGUAUAGUGGGGAAUAAGUUUCAGCUUGAUGAUGUAAUUGAAUCUCAGCAGUUUGAUAGAGACACUCUCAGUUCCAUAUUUGAAGUGGCACGGGAGAUGGAGAAAGUUGAGAAGAAGUCGACGGGAAGGGAGAUACUUAAGGGUUAUCUCAUGGCCACUCUCUUCUAUGAACCCUCAACUAGGACUAGGCUUUCGUUUGAAUCUGCCAUGAAGCGUUUAGGCGGGGAAGUAUUGACAACGGAAAAUGCUCGUGAAUUUUCUUCUGCAGCAAAAGGAGAGACGCUUGAAGACACAAUUAGAACUGUUGAAGGGUACUCUGACAUCAUUGUUAUGAGACAUUUUGAAAGUGGUGCUGCUAGAAGAGCCGCAGCCACUGCCAGUAUUCCAAUCAUAAAUGCAGGAGAUGGUCCUGGACAACACCCAACUCAGGCCCUUCUAGAUGUAUAUACUAUUGAAAGAGAAAUAGGAAAACUUGACGGUAUUAAAGUUGCUCUUGUUGGUGAUCUAGCUUAUGGGAGGACGGUUCGUUCACUUGCUUACUUGCUCGCGAAGUACCGAGAUGUGAAAAUUUACUUUGUAUCCCCGGAUGUAGUUAAAAUGAAGGAUGACAUAAAGGAUUAUUUGACAUCGAUGGGGGUUCAGUGGGAAGAAAGUGCUGAUCUGGUGGAGGUGGCUUCUAAAUGUGAUGUGGUAUAUCAAACUCGUAUUCAAAGAGAAAGAUUUGGAGAGAGGGUUGAUUUGUAUGAAGAAGCUCGAGGGAAGUAUAUCGUGGAUCUGAGUGUCGUAAAUGCUAUGCAGAAACAUGCAGUAGUGAUGCAUCCUUUGCCAAGACUUGAUGAGAUAACUGUUGAUGUGGAUGGAGAUCCAAGGGCUGCUUAUUUCAGACAAGCUAAGAAUGGUCUUUACAUUCGGAUGGCUCUUUUGAAGCUUCUACUCCUUGGUUGGUGACAGAUGCAAACUUUUUAUAUUUGGAAUAUUGCGAAACCAUUCUUGUUAUCCAUUGCAGAGUAAAGGAUUGAAAUCCCAAAAAUGAACUGUUAUCGUAGAGCCUAUCUUUUGAGAAAAUGAUAGUCUGCAGAGUUACUUGAUAUCUGUGCCGGUGGAAAGUAGCAGCUACCUGAUGGACACUCAAAUUUCGUGCAAGCUGGUCUGCCAGACUGCCACCAGUAUGAAAAAGAAUGAAAGUUUGUAGAGUUUCUUCUCUUUAUGCAGCAAGUUUAAGUGGUAUCUGUAAGCUUUGCAAGAACUGACGCUCAUUGAUUCUUGGGUUCACAUCUUCAAUGCCAACAUAUUUAACUUGCCCUUGCAAUUUAGUUGGCAUAUAUUUGGUACCUUCCGCUGUUCCAUCUUCAGUUUUCA